GAUCUGAGCGGUUGCGAAGGACUGAGACGCAGCUCAAAGCUGUCACUUACCGCCUGGAGUUCGUUCGGAAAGUUGAAAAAGCCUAGUCCUAUGUAGGAAAUCUAUCCAGCUGUGUAUUUACUUUUGCUUUUAGGGUCUGAAGCUCAGGAAGGUUAAGAAAACAAGGUCACACAGCUGCUGCCAUGCUUGGUCAUUCGAUCACAGUGAUGGAGAAGCAACCCAUACAGAUUGCAUCUCUGGAGCCCCAUGCAAUUUGGUCAUCAGCUAUGUGAUGUUACCUCAGACCCCAAAAAUUAAGGGUCUUCUGGGUCAUGUGGUAUGAGGGGCCAACUUAAAGCUUUGGACCUCCUUCUAUGCCAUCUCUACAUGAGCUGAAAUACUAUUCUAAGAAUAUACUGUCUCUGGGCCUGAAGAAGCUGUCUUAGUGACCUCUGCAUUCCUGUGAUGAGAGCUGCAAGACAGAUAAAACUCCAAUGUAAUGACUCCGCAAGUGUGUCAGUGCUUCCGGACAACAUCCCUCCAGUGGGCAGAAGGACCCCUUGGGCUGCAGCCCGGAAGGGUCUGGGCACUAGAUGGUUGGAAAAGAUGCCAACUGUUGUUGAAGGAUCUUCUAAAGCUGUUCCAGUUAACAGAGAUGAAAGGAUGGAUCUGUUCAGCAUUGUGGAGGUCCUAGCAGAUCAAUGGAUGAGCUUCUGACAGCAUCAACAACAAUUAGGCCUUCUCUGCUAUCUAAAUGAAUGUCAGACAUUAGAAGACACCACAAGAGUGCAGAUGCCAAAACUCAGGCUAAGGGAAUGUUCUUGAGAAACAACCACUUUUCUUCAGAAAAGAAUGGGAGAAGAGGGAGGAUUCCGUGGGUUAAAACAACCUAAACACUUACCACCGUCAGCCUCACUGACUGCUUAUCUAUUAGAAAUCUAGCCAAAUAAGCCGUGAGAUAACUGGGGAAUUAGAACAAUGAUCAGACAUAUCCUCAUAUCAGGAAUCACUUAAUUUUAAAUAUAUGAUAAAUGGACUGGAGAGAUGGUCCAAUGGCUAAGAGCACUUGCUGCUCUUGUAGUGGAUUGGGGUUUGGUUCCUAGCACAUACACAGUGGAUUACAGCUGACUGUACCUCCAAUUUCAGGGGAUUAAACAUCAUGGGCAUUGCAUGCAUGUAGUGCACAUACAUACCACACAGGCAAAACAUUCAUACCCCCCAAAUUAGCAACAUGUUAAAUGCUAUUGAACUUUUCACAUAUUCCAAUGAACAGCAAUGUUUUUAAGAAAGCAGUAGCAUCUGAGUUACAGUCUGGAUGGUUCUCCCUUUUACAAAGUGGAGUAAGUCAGACAGAGUCAUUAAAGAAUCCACACGCAAGUAUCCUAAGCCUGAAUAAUAACACCACCAAAAAGUUAUGUAGAGGAUAAAUAAUGAGAGGCCUGUCUUCGAAUGAAAGCCUCAGUGAUAAAAAUCACAGUAACACAAUCAACAUGGUAUCGGUAUCGGGGCAGACAAAUCAGUGGAACUGAACAGUGAAUCCAAAAAUAGAUCUCAGCAUAUAUCAUAAUUUAAUAUGUGACAAAGGCAGUAUUUCAAUUCUGUGGGAAAGAAUGGCUUAUUUAAUAAACAGUGCUGGUGUAACUGGCUAUUCAUCUAGAACAAAAUGAACUUGGGUCUCAAUUUCACAAGUCUCAAAACAGAUUCUAAAUGGAUUAAAAACUUAAGUGUAAGCAGUAAGCCUUAGAGAAACAUUCAGGUAGCUACAUUCAAAUGUGGGUGACAGAGAAAACGUUCUAAAAACUGAAACCAGGAACUUGGGAAAUGGGAAAUGUGUGGUAACAAAACUCAAAACCUUUAAACAGCAAAAGAUGCCAAGACAAGUCAUGUCAAAACUUGAGUAAAGCAUGUGAAACACAGAUAACACAUGAGGGGUAAAUAUUUCUCACACACAGCAAACUCAGAGAAAUUGAUAAAGGAAAGAUAAAACAUUCCAUUUUUUAAGGGGCAAAAGGCAUCAGGGAAUUCACAGAAUAAGUGCAAGUAACUAAUAAUCAUGUCAAAGGUUUUUAAACUCACCAGCAUUUGGGUAUUGGAAAUUAGGAUGAUAAUGAGUAUCUAGUCAGAUGUGUAGGCAUACACCUAUCAUUCCACACUCAGAAGGUAGAGGCAGGAGAAACAAGGCUAGCCUUAGCUACAUAGUGAAUUUGAGGUCAUCCUGAGCUUCAUGAGACCCAGCCUAAAAAACACCAAAUAAAAUACCCCCACUAAAUAUUAGGCAUUACUUUACACCCAUGAGAUUAAAAACAUUCAAAAGACUAUUACUAUUGCAGUGUUUGUGAAACUGUGAACUGUUAUUGUCUUUGGAGAGAAAAUAGUCUUAAAGACAUCUAUUAAAGAAUCCACGCAACCUUUGCCCCAGUGAUUCAACCCCUGGGCAUGUAGAAAUAAUUAACAACAAGCCAAUACGGAAGGAUUUAUGCAAAAUGGUAGUAGCAAAAAAUUAAAAGCAAAGUGAACGCAUACCUAUGAGGGAAGAGUUUAAUAAAUCUCUCUUUUUGCUGAAUUUACAAAUAUGCUGAAUAGUGUCUCUGCUUCAUAAAAUAGUAGGCUUAGACUUCCAAGGAAGAAUUGGAACUCUUUGUGAACUAGGAUUCUCACAAGCUUGGAAGUGAGAAGGGCAAGCCGCUGGAGUCUUAUGGCUCCUGGAGACAGACUGAUAUACACUGGUGUGUGCGUGUGCCUGUGCAUGUGCGUGUGCAUGUGCGUGUGCGUGUGCGUGUGCGUGUGCGUGUGCGUGUGCGUGUGCGUGUGUGUGUGUGUUUAUGUUUGUAAGCAGACUUCUAUCUUUUUAAGAUGGCAUGAGAUUAAGAACAUUGUAAGGCAUGGACUGCAUGGGGUUAACAAUGGCUCUGCCACUCUGGGGUAAGAUCUGGGGAGAUGCUGAAAGGAGGGAGGUGAACAAAGAUACCGAUCUAAAGUUUCUAAGAACGUCAUUCAGAUUUAAAAAAAAAAAAAAUCUAGUGUUAGAGGUGCAGGUGUGGCUCACACCUUUAACCCCAGCAUUCAUGAGGCAUGGGAAGGUUGAUCUUGACUCACCCUGGUGUACAGAAGGAGUUCCAGGACAGUCAGGGCUACACUGUGAAACCAUGUCUCAAACAAGACAAAACAAAACAACAAAAACCUAUUGUGAUAUGCUAUUAAUGCAUCUUCAUCUUACUGAGCUUAUUAUGUGCCUUUCUUGUUUCUGUGACCAAAGUCAAGACAAGAAGCAACUAAAGAAGGAAGGGUUUGCUUUGACACUUGUUAGGGGAGGGAGGCAUUAUGGCAGGGAAACCAUGGUGGGAGAAGCAGCUUUCAGUUGUGAUGACAGGAUCUCUUAAAGCUGCUAGCUCACACCUAUGUGUAACACAAAGCAGAGAGGAGACAGAAAGUGGAGUAGACAAUAAAGUUCAAGUCCACCAGUCCUCUCCCAGAGAGAUGCUUCCUCCAGUUAGGUUCUACUUCUCAAAUGUCCCACAACGUCUACAAAUAGUACCACUAGUUGGAGACCAAAUAUUCAAACACCCAUUCUUAUGCGAGAAACUUUGCAUCCAGACCACAAUCAUAUGUUUAAACAUUGUAUAUGUGUGUGUGCAUGUAUGCAUAUGUGUAUAUUUCAUGUACAUAUACAUACAAUAAUAUACACUAUAUUAGAACAAGAUGGAAUUAAAUAUACCCAAGUAUUUGAGAAUGUGAUUGAUAAACUAUUAAAAAUUUAAAAAAUGGUAACAUAUGUGAUAACACUAUUUUUGGCAAAGUGGACACAUGCAAGAAGGUCUACAGAGCUGAGUUAGGUUAAUGCUUACACUGCUACUGUGCCAUGCAAAUGAUAGGAAGGGACAAAUGCUAUGUUGUUACCCCAAAGGGAGUAGAGGUGGGUUCCAUAGUGGAUUGUUUCUUUUACACAUAAUUGUGCUGUUUUACUUGUUCAAUCAGUCUGAAUGCUUGUAAUUUGAAAUAAUAAAUAAAAAAUACACUCUUUCACCU